rnacentral:rRNA from 1 species
UACGUAGGGUGCAAGCGUUGUCCGGAAUUAUUGGGCGUAAAGAGCUCGUAGGCGGUCUGUCGCGUCGGCUGUGAAAUCCCGGAGCUCAACUCCGGGUCUGCAGUCGAUACGGGCAGACUGGAGUUCGGCAGGGGAGACUGGAAUCCUGGUGUAGCGGUGAAAUGCGCAGAUAUCAGGAGGAACACCGGUGGCGAAGGCGGGGUCUCUGGG